rnacentral:rRNA from 1 species
ACAUGCAAGUCGAGGGGUAUAGUUCUUCGGAACUAGAGACCGGCGCACGGGUGCGUAACGCGUAUGCAAUCUACCUUUCACAAAGGAAUAGCCCAGAGAAAUUUGGAUUAAUACCUUAUAGUAUAUAUGAAUGGCAUCAUUUAUAUAUUAAAGAUUUAUCGGUGAAAGAUGAGCAUGCGUCCCAUUAGCUAGUUGGUAAGGUAACGGCUUACCAAGGCAACGAUGGGUAGGGGUCCUGAGAGGGAGAUCCCCCACACUGGUACUGAGACACGGACCAGACUCCUACGGGAGGCAGCAGUGAGGAAUAUUGGACAAUGGGCGCAAGCCUGAUCCAGCCAUGCCGCGUGCAGGAUGACGGUCCUAUGGAUUGUAAACUGCUUUUAUACGAGAAGAAACACUCCGACGUGUCGGAGCUUGACGGUAUCGUAAGAAUAAGGAUCGGCUAACUCCGUGCCAGCAGCCGCGGUAAUACGGAGGAUCCAAGCGUUAUCCGGAAUCAUUGGGUUUAAAGGGUCCGUAGGCGGUCAGAUAAGUCAGUGGUGAAAGCCCAUCGCUCAACGGUGGAACGGCCAUUGAUACUGUCUGACUUGAAUUAUUAGGAAGUAACUAGAAUAUGUAGUGUAGCGGUGAAAUGCUUAGAGAUUACAUGGAAUACCAAUUGCGAAGGCAGGUUACUACUAAUAUAUUGACGCUGAUGGAUGAAAGCGUGGGUAGCGAACAGGAUUAGAUACCCUGGUAGUCCACGCCGUAAACGAUGGAUACUAGCUGUUGGAAGCAAUUUCAGUGGCUAAGCGAAAGUGAUAAGUAUCCCACCUGGGGAGUACGUUCGCAAGAAUGAAACUCAAAGGAAUUGACGGGGGCCCGCACAAGCGGUGGAGCAUGUGGUUUAAUUCGAUGAUAC